rnacentral:lncRNA from 1 species
GGGAUGAAGAUGAAGGUUUUAGGAAAAAACAUCCGGCGUACGGUGCUGCAGCACAUCUGGUCCGUUUACGGAAUAAAGAUGAAGAACCGUAAUAAAAGCAAGCCGAGUAGCAAGAUGUCCGCAGCGCACUCGGUGAAGUUUUGGAACAGCCCUGGAUGCUUUGCAGCACUGUUCUAUGCAGGACUAUGGCAACGUACCAUGUUCUGUUUUUGGGCUCACAUGCUCUGUAAAUGUGCACCCCAUCACGUGUGGUCCCAUCCAUGUGGGGCUGUGAGGCUGGCCUCCUUUCCAGCCCAGCCAAUGUUGUGGAUGAGUCCUGCUCACACUCAGGUCUUAGGAGGAGUCACCGCAGAAGUUUAA